rnacentral:rRNA from 1 species
AGGACGAACGCUGGCGGCGUGCUUAACACAUGCAAGUCGAGCGGAAAGGCCCUUCGGGGUACUCGAGCGGCGAACGGGUGAGUGACACGUGAGGAACCUGCCCUGGACUUUGGGAUAACCCUCGGAAACGGGGCUAAUACCGAAUACGACACUUCACCGCAUGGUGUGGGUGUGGAAAGUUUUUCGGUCUGGGAUGGUCUCGCGGCCUAUCAGCUUGUUGGUGGGUAAUGGCCUACCAAGGCGACGACGGGUA